rnacentral:lncRNA from 10 species
GCGGGAACCCGGCCCGGCCGUACCCCGCCGGCCUGCCGACCCGGGUCCGGGGGCCCAGUUGGCGCCCGGACCAGCUCUCCGGUCUGCGUCCUGUAGAUGGGAAAACUGAGGCCUGAGAGGGCGCGAGGGCGGGGACGAGGCCGAGGACUCGGGUUCGAAUCUCGAGGACGCCAGUAGCCCGCUCUGAGGCCGCGUGGGGCUGGUGGAGGAGCCACCGGUCGGGCCCCCAAGACCGGCUGACGUGGGCCUCGCCUCGGGCGACUCCCGCCGGGCUAGUGGCUGGCCGUGUGGUGACCUUGGGCGAGUUACUUCGCACAGCCACCCAGGGGCCUCUUCUCCAACACGAUAGCACUGCACCCGGAGGGUAGGCCUUCAGACCUGAGCUGAAAUCUACACCACCGGCUCUCUGACUAUCAGGCUUUGGACUAUACUUUGGGCUUUCCUGGGUCUCUUACCUGGCAGACAGCAGAUUUUGGAACUUUUCAGCCUCCAUAAUCAUCAACUCUGUGAGGGAUUGUUAUCUCCAUUUUAUGGAUGAGGAAGCUGACUCUGAGAGAUGACUUUCCAAAUUCAUCCAACUGGAAGAAAAAGGAAGUCUCUGGGGACUUGAAUCCAGAACUGUCCAGCUCCAAGUCC